rnacentral:rRNA from 1 species
UACGGGGGGAGCAAGCGUUGUUCGGAUUUACUGGGCGUAAAGCGCGUGUAGGCGGCUUGGCAAGUUGAAUGUGAAAGCCCACGGCUCAACCGUGGAAGCGCAUCCAAAACUGCUUCGCUCGAGUCUCGGAGAGGAAGGUGGAAUGCUUGGUGUAGAGGUGAAAUUCGUAGAUAUCAAGCAGAACACCUGCGGCGAAGGCAGCCGUCUGGACGAUGACUGACGCUGAGACGCGAAAGCGUGGGGAGCAAACAGG